AUUGAACGCUGGCGGCAGGCCUAACACAUGCAAGUCGAGCGGGAGGCGGACGGGUGAGUAAGUUAUGGGGAUCUGACUGGUGGAGGGGGAUAAAUACUGGAAACGGUUGCUACAAACGCCUACCAUCCGAUGAGCCGAUAUGGGAUUAGGGUGUAGGUAAGGUCCCUGCUCACCUAGGCGACGAUCCCUAGCUGGUCGGAGAGGAGGAUCAGCCACACGGGGACUGAGACACGGCCCAGACUCCUACGGGAGGCAGCAGUGGGGAAGAUGGCAGAAUGGGCGCAAGCCUGAUGCAGCCAUGCCGCGUGUAUGAAGAAGGCCUUCGGGUUGUAAAGUACUUUCAGUCGGGAGGCGUUACCGACAGAAGAAGCACCGGCUAACUCCGUGCCAGCAGCCGCGGUAAUAC
rnacentral:rRNA from 1 species